rnacentral:rRNA from 1 species
AUACCAGCACCCCGAGUGGUCGGGACGAUUAUUGGGCCUAAAGCAUCCGUAGCCGGUGUAGCACGUCCUCCGUUAAAUCCACUUGCCCAACAAGUGGGCUGCGGAGGAUACUGCUACACUAGGGGGCGGGAGAGGCGAGGGGUAUUCCACGGGUAGGGGUAAAAUCCUCUGAUCCGUGGAGGACCACCAGUGGCGAAGGCGCCUCGCCAGAACGCGCCCGACGGUGAGGGAUGAAAGCUGGGGGAGCAAACUGGAUUAGAAACCCCAGUAGUCC